rnacentral:lncRNA from 1 species
ACCCCCAAGACAACCGACACCACCACCAUCAACAUCUUCUCCUCCUCCGCUUCACCUCCAACACCCACUAUCCAUCUCCUUCACGUUUCUCCACCAUCUUCUUGACUCAUACCUGCCAUCCACGACCAAUCUCCUCUCCUUUCAUCAUCUCCUCCAUUAAAGAAGAAAAAGCUUCCUACAUUGAAGGCCCAACUCGAGCUCUGACCUCUAUCUCUCUUUUUCGUCAGUUUCUUGGUCGAUAACAAGGUACCCACAAUCCCUAAUCAGUCUCUAAGCAUUAUUGUCGAAUACUAUUUCUUCGAUUCGGCCAUUGUGACAGAUUUGGUGAAACUGGGAUUUUCCUCAAGAACCCUAAUUUUUUCAAAUUUGUGUUUUUAUGAAAUUGAGUGUAGAUAUUUUCAAUUGACAUGUUAGUGAUUUUAUAUCUUGAAUUUGGUGAUGUUUGGACCCUAAUUGUGCUCUCAAUUUCAAAAUUUCGAAUCUAUUUUGCACCCAAGAACCCUAAUUUUUGAAGUUUGCAAUUUUGUGCAAUUGGCCUUGCCUUACUGAAAUUGAUGAUAUGUUAGGAUUGUGGAACAAAUUAGAACUUAAAAUUUCUUACCGCUUGCCAUGUUAAUUUUUCUUAAUGACUCACUUCGGUGAUCUCCUUCCCUUUCGAUAGGGGUUUUUGAUUAAUUAGUUCUUGUCGGGUGAAUUGUUUUUGUCGAACGAAUUCUUAAGAUGUUGUAAUAUUGAUGAGGAUGCUUAUCUAGCAUGCCAUGUACUUAAGUACUUUCGGUUCUUCAUUUUCCCUAUUUUGAACUAUUUAAGUGUGGGGUGAUCUACAUUGAGUUGGUUGAGCAUUGUGAAGUGGUGUUGUGGUUGCAGUUAGGUUCAUUACUGUUCAUGAGAUGUAUGAUUAUAUCAUGUUGUUUGCCUUGUCCUUGUUGCCUCAUUUUAGCUAUGUUAUAGCUUAUUUCUUGCAGGAUUCCUCCCAAGUCAUUGCAUAAAUGAUGAGGGAUAACAAUGCCUCUUCUUUGGACACUGCUGCACGAGCCACCGACUCUUUCUCUCUAAAAUUUAGGUGGACACAAGAAGGAGAAAUUGCGGCUUGGAGGCAGAAUAAGGAUAAGAUUGUGGUUUAACAAGGGUACCUCGACUGGCAUUUUUUGACAACGAAAUAGUGGGCAGAGCGAUUAGAAGCAUAUCUUGGUCGUGGGGGAAUGCUUUCUCUAUUCCAAGUUCGAAAGGACACCAAUGUGUUGGCUACAAAUGAAGUGAUCAAUUCUAUCACUUCCAAGCCCUGUCAAGACAUGAAGAAGUCGAUCGUCAUCAAGUUCCAACUUGGUGGUGUUCGUCGGAGCUGUUCUAUCAAUAUGUUUGGCUAGCCCUUGGUCUUUAUCAGGUGGAGGACUUGGUCGGAAGUGAUAAGUGGGCGAUUUUGAGAGGUCAGACAAUGGAUGAAGCUCGAUCAUGCUGGAGGAGCAUAGCACCUCGUGAUUCGGCUUACAAGUCGAAUAAGUCAAAGGCGGCCAUGAUGGAGGUACCGAUUCUUCGAUUCUUGCAUCUUGUUCUUCGGAAUACGAUCUGUUAGAGGGUGCAAUCUUAGGGGGUAGUGGGUGCCAAGGACCUCUUCAUCUUCUACCACCUUCAACAGGGCUAGAAGAUGCAUAUGGCUCCGUUAGUAGCUUUCCCGCUUAAGAACCAACAGACAAGGGGAUGAUCGAAGAAUGGAUAGCUGUUUGGUGGGUUAUAUGUGGCUCCUCUCAUCUCGUACUUCGCCUGCCAGGAUGCACUCACCCGUUUUGACAGGGUGUCAUAGUACUUGGUGGGAGCAGAGCUCUGGCAGGGACACACACUUCCGGUAGACAUUUGGUCAGAGCACUGCGACCCAGCAAGGGGGGGUUGAUGAUACUGACGAUGAGGAUGAUGUUGUUGAGGAUCUUGUUGAUGAGGAUCCUUUCGAUCCUAACUUUGUUGCUGAUGAUAUAGGCAGCAUGCAUACCCACUUGGAUUAGCUCACCUCCUACAUCUAUGACUUGUAACUUCAAGGUGCUUGUCGUGAUGCUUAUAUGGGGUACAUAUUCAUGGAGCAGCAGCGUUGCUACACCUAUACCACCCCUGGUUACCCUGCAGUUCCACCGUUCCAGUACCCC